GCUACAGAGCUCCCAGCACUCAAGUGGAUUCUCCCUAAGUUUUAUUUUGUGCUUUGACCCCAAACUCUGAUAAAAGUAAGGCAAAUUUCAUUAUGUUUUAGGUCCAUUUUAUACUUAAACACUCUCAGUAGAUUUUCUAGGAUGCUUUUGCAGUGCUUAAGCAGGCCUUGAGAGACUACCAGAAGAAUGUUUCAUUGUAUUCUUUUCCCAGCCCACAGGAGUAGCCUUCCUGCCAAGAAUAAACAAGUCCUAACUCUGCAGACUCCUACACAACUAGAGGCAGUUAGUCCUUUGUCCUCCAUGGAAAAGUUUCUGGGAACCUGAUGUCAAAUGUCACCUGUGCAUACUUCCCUGAGAAGUGGAAUCUGGCUGCAGUGCAACACCAAGAGAAGCAGCAUCUGUAGGUAUCUGGAUCCUCCCUUGUCAGCAGCUCUAAGC